GAUCGAAAGGGGAGAUUCAUCGUCAGCUCGUUUUGUAUAUACAUAGGUUAUGAUGCGAGUUACCAUUUGUGUGGUAUUGCUCGUACGUACUUGUGCAUUUAUUUGCAAAAUAUGGUCGGCGUGCACUUCUCCCCUAGUAGAACAUCGCGACCCGUUGGAUGUCGGUUUACGUGCCAAGUGGCAAAGCCUUUAAUUUUUCUAUAAUCUUAAAGAUCCUUGGUGUAAAUUGACCGGCAGUCCGGCGGUACUCGUAUGGUAUUUAGCCGCAAUUUAAUUUGCGUCCAUAGCCGUCGCAAGUGAGGCUAGUUUUUUGCAGUACGGACUUUGAGCCGUCGCGAAAAUUGGCCAGCUGUUGGCUGUACGGAAAACUCGGACAGGCUAAUAAAUCGUAUACUGUAGCUACCGGUCGGCGAUGCUACUGCUUUGGGUACUUUCAGGACCCGUCUUGAAACACGGACCAAGGAGUCUAACAUGUACGCGAGUUAUUGGGAUAUUUUGUAAAUUAAACCUAAAAGCGCAAUGAAAGU
rnacentral:rRNA from 1 species